ACAUUCGGUCAAAGGUUGCAGAUCACAGAGGAUCCUGUCUGCUCUCGUGUAAUUAAGCUGUAGACCGGCUGGAUAGUAUUGAUAUCGGGGACGCGUUGAGAAUACCAGCUGUUGAAGAUG
rnacentral:rRNA from 1 species